rnacentral:rRNA from 1 species
UAGGGAAUCUUCGGCAAUGGACGGAAGUCUGACCGAGCAACGCCGCGUGAGUGAAGAAGGUUUUCGGAUCGUAAAGCUCUGUUGUAAGAGAAGAACGAGUGUGAGAGUGGAAAGUUCACACUGUGACGGUAACUUACCAGAAAGGGACGGCUAACUACGUGCCAGCAGCCGCGGUAAUACGUAGGUCCCGAGCGUUAUCCGGAUUUAUUGGGCGUAAAGCGAGCGCAGGCGGUUAGAUAAGUCUGAAGUUAAAGGCUGUGGCUUAACCAUAGUACGCUUUGGAAACUGUUUAACUUGAGUGCAGAAGGGGAGAGUGGAAUUCCAUGUGUAGCGGUGAAAUGCGUAGAUAUAUGGAGGAACACCGGUGGCGAAAGCGGCUCUCUGGUCUGUAACUGACGCUGAGGCUCGAAAGCGUGGGGAGCAAACAGGAUUAGAUACCCUGGUAGUCCACGCCAUAAACGAUGAGUGCUAGGUGUUGGAGGGUUUCCGUCCUUCAGUGCCGGAGCUAACGCAUUAAGCACUCCGCCUGGGGAGUACGACCGCAAGGUUG